GAGCUGCCUUUAAACCCCCUGCACCAGGGGUUAAGCUGCAGUGCCAGAGCAAGUGCUUGAAUAAUGGGCCACCAAGCCUCUGAGGGAGGCCCUGUUAACUGUGACUUUAUGU
rnacentral:snoRNA from 1 species